rnacentral:rRNA from 1 species
CGAACAGAAAAGGAGCUUGCUCCUUUGACGUUAGCGGCGGACGGGUGAGUAACACGUGGGCAACCUACCCUAUAGUUUGGGAUAACUCCGGGAAACCGGGGCUAAUACCGAAUAAUCUCUUUUGCUUCAUGGUGAAAGACUGAAAGACGGUUUCGGCUGUCGCUAUAGGAUGGGCCCGCGGCGCAUUAGCUAGUUGGUGAGGUAACGGCUCACCAAGGCGACGAUGCGUAGCCGACCUGAGAGGGUGAUCGGCCACACUGGGACUGAGACACGGCCCAGACUCCUACGGGAGGCAGCAGUAGGGAAUCUUCCACAAUGGGCGAAAGCCUGAUGGAGCAACGCCGCGUGAGUGAAGAAGGUUUUCGGAUCGUAAAACUCUGUUGUAAGGGAAGAACAAGUACAGUAGUAACUGGCUGUACCUUGACGGUACCUUAUUAGAAAGCCACGGCUAACUACGUGCCAGCAGCCGCGGUAAUACGUAGGUGGCAAGCGUUGUCCGGAAUUAUUGGGCGUAAAGCGCGCGCAGGCGGUCCUUUAAGUCUGAUGUGAAAGCCCACGGCUCAACCGUGGAGGGUCAUUGGAAACUGGGGGACUUGAGUGCAGAAGAGGAAAGUGGAAUUCCAAGUGUAGCGGUGAAAUGCGUAGAGAUUUGGAGGAACACCAGUGGCGAAGGCGACUUUCUGGUCUGUAACUGACGCUGAGGCGCGAAAGCGUGGGGAGCAAACAGGAUUAGAUACCCUG